rnacentral:hammerhead_ribozyme from 1 species
AUCCAGCUGACGAGUCCCAAAUAGGACGAAAUGUGCCUACUGAAU